UGGGGAAUAUUGCACAAUGGGGGAAACCCUGAUGCAGCGACGUCGCGUGAGCGAAGAAGGCCUUCGGGUCGUAAAGCUCUGUCCUAUGGGAAGAAAAGGACGGUACCAUAGAAGGAAGCCCCGGCUAACUACGUGCCAGCAGCCGCGGUAAUACGUAGGGGGCGAACGUUAUCCGGAAUGAUUGGGCGUAAAGGGUACGUAGGCGGUCUAUUAAGUCAGGUGUGAAAGCGUGAGGCUUAACCUCAUUAAGCACUUGAAACUGAUAGACUUGAGUGAAGGAGAGGAAAGUGGAAUUCCUAGUGUAGCGGUGAAAUGCGUAGAUAUUAGGAGGAAUACCGGUGGCGAAGGCGACUUUCUGGACUUUUACUGACGCUCAGGUACGAAAGCGUGGGGAGCAAACAGG
rnacentral:rRNA from 1 species